GGGGUUAUCCCUUAAAUGGUAGAGGACUCGUUUUGCAUACGAGUAGUCCGAGUUCGAGUCUCGGUAACUCCA
rnacentral:tRNA from 1 species